rnacentral:rRNA from 1 species
CCUACGGGGGGCAGCAGUGGGGAAUAUUGGACAAUGGGGGGAACCCUGAUCCAGCCAUGCCGCGUGUGUGAAGAAGGCCCUCGGGUUGUAAAGCACUUUCAGUGAGGAAGAACGCCUGGUGGUUAAUACCCAUCAGGAAAGACAUCACUCACAGAAGAAGCACCGGCUAACUCCGUGCCAGCAGCCGCGGUAAUACGGAGGGUGCGAGCGUUAAUCGGAAUUACUGGGCGUAAAGCGCGCGUAGGUGGCUUGAUAAGCCGGUUGUGAAAGCCUCGGGCUCAACCUGGGAACGGCAUCCGGAACUGUCAAGCUAGAGUGCAGGAGAGGAAGGUAGAAUUCCCGGUGUAGCGGUGAAAUGCGUAGAGAUCGGAAGGAAUACCAGUGGCGAAGGCGGCCUUCUGGACUGACACUGACACUGAGGUGCGAAAGCGUGGGUAGCAAACAGGAUUAGAUACCCGAGUAGUC